UACGUAGGUGGCAAGCGUUGUCCGGAAUUAUUGGGCGUAAAGCGCGCGCAGGUGGUUUCUUAAGUCUGAUGUGAAAGCCCACGGCUCAACCGUGGAGGGUCAUUGGAAACUGGGAGACUUGAGUGCAGAAGAGGAUAGUGGAAUUCCAAGUGUAGCGGUGAAAUGCGUAGAGAUUUGGAGGAACACCAGUGGCGAAGGCGACUAUCUGGUCUGUAACUGACACUGAGGCGCGAAAGCCAGGGGAGCAAACGGG
rnacentral:rRNA from 1 species